GAUGAACGCUGGCGGUGUGCCUAAUACAUGCAAGUCGAGCGAACGGAUUAAGAGCUUGCUCUUAUGAAGUUAGCGGCGGACGGGUGAGUAACACGUGGGUAACCUGCCCAUAAGACUGGGAUAACUCCGGGAAACCGGGGCUAAUACCGGAUAACAUUUUGAACCGCAUGGUUCGAAAUUGAAAGGCGGCUUCGGCUGUCACUUAUGGAUGGACCCGCGUCGCAUUAGCUAGUUGGUGAGGUAACGGCUCACCAAGACAACGAUGCGUAGCCGACCUGAGAGGGUGAUCGGCCACACGGGGACUGAGACACGGCCCAGACGCCUACGGGAGGCAGCAGUAGGGAAUCUUCCGCAAUGGACGAGAGUCUGACGGAGCAACGCCGCGUGAGUGAUGAAGGCUUUCGGGUCGUAAAACUCUGUUGUUAGGGAAGAACAAGUGCUAGUUGAAUAAGCUGGCACCUUGACGGUACCUAACCAGAAAGCCACGGCUAACUACGUGCCAGCCGCCGCAGUAA
rnacentral:rRNA from 1 species